rnacentral:misc_RNA from 1 species
GUGAAUCAUCAAAUUUUUGAACGCAUAUUGCGCUCUCUAGUAUUCCGGAGAGUAUGCCUAUUUGAGGGUCAUUUGAUAUAAUAUAAAUUCCAAGAUUUCUCGGAAUUUAAAAUGUGUUUGCCAUUUUUUGUGGUCGCCUAAAAUCCGAGACAAGCUCAUUUUCUUGGGUUGCGUGAUACUUUCGGUUACCUUGUGACGUAACCAGGAAUC